GAUGUUAGCGGCGGACGGGUGAGAAACACGUGGGUAACCUGCCUGUAAGACUGGGAUAACUCCGGGAAACCGGGGCUAAUACCGGAUGGUUGUUUGAACCGCAUGGUUCAAACAUAAAAGGUGGCUUCGGCUACCACUUACAGAUGGACCCGCGGCGCAUUAGCUAGUUGGUGAGGUAACGGCUCACCAAGGCAACGAUGCGUAGCCGACCUGAGAGGGUGAUCGGCCACACUGGGACUGAGACACGGCCCAGACUCCUACGGGAGGCAGCAGUAGGGAAUCUUCCGCAAUGGACGAAAGUCUGACGGAGCAACGCCGCGUGAGUGAUGAAGGUUUUCGGAUCGUAAAGCUCUGUUGUUAGGGAAGAACAAGUACCGUUCGAAUAGGGCGGUACCUUGACGGUACCUAACCAGAAAGCCACGGCUAACUACGUGCCAGCAGCCGCGGUAAUACGUAGGUGGCAAGCGUUGUCCGGAAUUAUUGGGCGUAAAGGGCUCGCAGGCGGUUUCUUAAGUCUGAUGUGAAAGCCCCCGGCUCAACCGGGGAGGGUCAUUGGAAACUGGGGAACUUGAGUGCAGAAGA
rnacentral:rRNA from 2 species